rnacentral:lncRNA from 1 species
AGCUGUCGAAAGCAGAGACCCGGGUGAAGACAGAAGGCUUCUGAUAAUAGUUGCAGCCAAGAGAAGAGCCAAAGCUGACAAUACCAUGCACUUCCCAUGCGCCAUCUGCAUUUUGACAGUUCAGUGGACCACCAGAGUCCCCCUGAGAAGAAGAGGAAACGUGGUUAAUGGCUUGGUCUUGGAACAAGUUGCAUAAUCUACUACCAGCAACAGGCCUUGCUGCAGUUCAUCUGGGAGAGCUCCAUUUGCUGGGAAGUAACGGAAAUGAAGGAGUCAUGAUACCAGCUGGCAAUGAAGGAAGAGCAAAAGUGCACUGCUAAGCUUCUCCCAGGAUCUGCAUGCUAUUCCUCCAGUUUUGCCCGUCUCCCACUACUCACUCUGCAGUCUUCCCCAUCCCGUCACGUAGCAGGCAGUGUUGGAUGACAGGAUGCUUUCUGCAGGAGGGAGGCAGGCCAGCUUGAUUUUGUCACUCAGUUCAACGUGUUCGGUUCCCUUCACCAAAAACAGAUGCAUAUGUGAGGACCAAUUACAGGCACCUGGAAAAUGAGAUGGUUUCUUUGCUAAUGCGCUCAGCCCACCAGCAUGCACAGGAGUCCUUCAAAUUC